CAUCGCCCGCUGCGCCUCCGGAAGCGCCGCAAGCGGUGACGUGGAACUCAGAGCCGCCCGCAAGGCGGGGCCGCGACGCGGGCGCGGGGGAGGGGAGGGGACAUCCGGGCACCCUGCGCCGGGACACAGUGCCGCGUUCCCCGGGGCUCGCGGCCGGGGGGAGGGAGGGGAAAACGGGGUGCCCCCGACGCUCUUUAACUCUGCGCUGAGGGGCGGGGCGGAGAGGGGCUUGCUGGGCCCGCCCAGCUUCUCCCUUCCGCGCGGGGCUGCCGGGGAAGCUCAGGGCCUGGGUGGGACUUAGAUGAAAUCUUUUCAAGGUACCGCCCCAAGCCUUGCCUAGCUCAGUCUCCACCCCUUUUUGUGGGCAGAAGUGUCUGCGGUUAUAGGGGGUUUUGGGAUUACGGAGGGCCGGGCACGCGGUCCUGGAGGAGAGUGCGAGGCUAUACACAGGAUAAGGGCAGGAAAUUGGUGUUUGGUUUAUGGUCCCUGUGGACCUCGGAGAACUUUUCAGCUUUGGCCCCAGGGCUUCCUAGCCUGGAGUUGGGAACGCCUCUGUGGGGCAGAGCCCAGUCCGGGUAGAGGGAGCCAGCUUGGACCGCCCGGCCCCGGAAUAAUCGUGGUUCGGAGGCUGCACGAGGCUUCUAUGGGCGCAGAUUCUGUGGGAGAGGGUUUAAGGAGGAGGGAAGGUGUCACGGAAGUCUGCACGGUUUUCCCGUCUUUUUACUUUGGACCUUUAUUUGAAGUGUUGCUGUAUUUCUGUGGCGGACAGCUAAAGAGCUCUUCCCCUUUGUGUUUUGUACCUGGUCUUGAAUUAUGUUCGUUUGAAAAAGGACGUGUUGUCACUUUAAGAUAAAGUUGAAAUUUUAUCUCUGGUAUUAGAAUAAUAUCAAAAUAGAGAGCUUCCCACUUGCCCAAGUGUUAUUUGAAGGAUUUUAGACCCAGUUGGAGCCCUGGAGGCGCAGCGGGUUAAGAGCUCGGCUCCUAACCAAAACGUCCACAGUUUGAACCCACCAGCCGCUCCUUGGAAAUCCUAUGGGGCAGUACUACUCUGUUCUUUAGGGUCGCUAUGAGUCUGAAUCGACUGGACGGCAAUGGGUUUGGUUUGGUUCAGACCCCAUUACAAGGCACUAAAAAAAAACCUCCCUUUUUAGGCGCUGAAGGCAAAGAUGUAUGUCACUAUGAAACUUGAGAGCUUGUUCCAUUCCGCAAGUAUUUUUGUGCUUUCCUGUGUCCCUGGCGCUGAGAUUUCCACGGAGAUCACAACUGUGAACAGGAUAAUUAAUGGCGUAGUCGGCAGAAUAUUUCUGAAGCCGUGAAUCCAGUCGACCUCGAGGAGACCUGGACUGUGGAACAGAAGCCAGCAAAGAGGUCCUGUUGUCUAGACUCCACACAUUUGCACACCACAUCCUCUUGGAAAAUGAGACUUUGCUGCUAUUUUUUGUUCUCUUUCUCUUGUUUCCUUAAGUUUUGUUUGGCGUAUUUGUUUGAAGAUCAAUCGUUUAAUUAAGGAGAAUCUUUCUUAAAUUUUUUGCUUCGUUAUUUGGUUAAGAGUGACAUCUAGUAUCUCUUUUGGUGAACUACAGUUUGGUGUCUGGAUUCGGGCAUUUGAAACACUAAAGAGAUAAUUCCAUUUUCAAAGAGCUCUGGGGUUGGUAUAACAAGGCCUUAAAAAUGGACAAAUCGUUCCUAAUAUGCCUGGGAAUUAAUGAAAAUGAUUUUGUUCUAACAAAGGUUUUUUAUGUUUUUGUUGACUUUAAAAGCAAAAUCUUUCUAACUUAAAAGCUAGAUAUUGUGUGAAACGUUUUAUUUAAGGAAAAGGGAUCAUUUUGUGUUAAAGUAAAACUAGUAGUUCCAGAGUGGGAGAAAGGAGGCAUAGGACAAGCCUAGAAGGAAAAAAAAAAAAAAAGAGGGCUAACCAAGAAAUAAUGGAUUCAUUUAUAAAAUUGCUAAAGAG